UGUAUUUUUGUAUACCAAAACAACUAGGGGGUGUCGACAAACUUCCAUUGAGUACCAUUAGACCACUCAAGAAGAAUUACCUCAUAUAACCAAGAUUUAAUGUUGUAAAGCAGAUUUUGAGCGGAUCUCCUUCAUUCUGCCGCCAGCUCACCAGAACCUCAGGGUGCACCAGCUGUGGAUAUUACAGGCCAAACUUUGGACACCCUAGGACAACAUCCUUAGCACAGAUCUACCUAUAGCCCUCCAUCAUUCCCACAUCCAUCUUGCAACAGUUUCAUGAAGUGCAGUCCAUAACCAGUUCACGGUCUACACCUUGUCCAUUGCAAAUGUUAUGGAUUAUUCUAAUAGAGAUCUUUCUAUUAUUUUUUUGAGACUGUUAUUAUGUACUCUGUUAUGUUGUGAAUAAAGUCACCCCCCCCCCCCCUCGAUGCUUUCAGCAGUUAAUACAUUAAAGUGUGUCCUUAAUGUUUUAUUAUUUAAAGAUUGUUUUAAAGUUUAUUACAGGCUCAGUUUAUUUUUUUUUUCACUAGAAAAUAAAGUGUUGUAUUACCUGUCAUAAUCAAGUAUGAGACUUUUGUCAGUAUCAUUAAUUCUGAGGCAAUAUGAAUCAAAUUAACAUUUGUAUAGGGUUUUCAUCCGAAGGCUUCCUCAUUCAGUUAAACAUCAAGGGUUUUCUUUGCCUUUGUCACCUUUAACUUUCUCAUUGGAAAUUGUGAGCAUCAUUAUUUGGAAGAAAAUAAGAAUAUGAAAAUGGCUUUGGAGUUCAAUGUAUUGCAUGGAAUCAAAGAACCACACAAACCUUUGACCUUCAUACAGACAUGGUAUAAAUUAAAGUGUUACUCAAAUUA